AGUAUUUUGGAUCGAUCCCAGUCUCUUAAAUUAUUAUAGGUUCGUUCUUCUUGUUGAUCAUCAUAAUCUCGUUUCUGAAGUUCGCGAGUUUGAACUGGUGUUUCUGUUGUUUGAAUACUAAUGGAUAUUUAAAUGAUCUGAAUAAGGUUCUACCGUAUAGACGACGCCGAUGAAACAAUUGCUGGAAAAUUUUAGAUUUAGACGUCUUCUCGGCAUUUUCUUUAUACAAUUAUUUGCCUGACUGUGCUUGUUGGCCAACUUGCUAGAAAUUUACAAUCGCAUCAGUUCCUCUAUUUUGUUCAAGAAACAUAGUAAUUCUUUAUCACCUAAGCUACCUUCGUUGCUAGGUUUUUAGAGAGUUUAAUUUCACGAAACCUUUGGAGAAAAGGCUGGCUCCUAUUUCGUUAAGUUGGAGUUGUGUCUUUCGGAACAUUUAUUCUAUGGGAGAUGGGUAUUAGUAACCUGGUUUGUAAGAAAUAGUAUUGAUAACAUGAUCAGUAAGAUGUGCUUUUCUUGUUAUUUGGUUAGUUAUAGGAUUCGGGAUUCCAUUUUGAGGGUGAUGCUAGAUUCCCUUAAUUAUCCGUUGGCUUCAUUCAAAUGGCCAGAAUUCUAGAUUGGUCUUCCCAUCGAUGGUUUCAGUGUAGUCCUUGGAAUGUUAAUUUCCUCUUUCUUGAAUAUGUGUCGUUGAUAAAUGGGACUCAUUUGCUUUUGUGAUAAUGUUUGGUUGGGUCAUUCUUCAUUCUUCAAUUGCUUCUCCUUUCUCUGUCCUUAGUGGCAGGUUUGGGGAGCACCCAAGAAUGCACGUUUGAAGUUCAUGUAGAAAUAAAUAUCAUCUUUUGAAGUAUGCAAUGUACCAAGUAAAUCAUUUUGCUUUUGAUGCGACUUUUGUUUUUUUGUUGAAGAGAGAAAAAUAAAUGGAUGAAACAGGGGAGAUAGGACGUUCUAUUAACCUGAGUCUUUAGAGACCUAAAAACUGCUCUUCUCCAAUUGGGAUUAAAUAAGAGAAAUGGAGAUUAAUUACACAAGGAAUUUGUCACAGCACUCCAAGAUGUAAAAGAACAUAAUAAUCCCUAAAGUAUUGAAGUCUAAUUCGUUCCACUAAAGACUCAUUCAUUCCUUUCACUUUGAAACUCCCAAACAGUAUCUAAACAAACAUAUUCCCAUAGGAUUUCCUAGUCUUUGAAUGGUUGACUAUGAAGUGUUUGAAUGCUAGAAGUGUGGACAUACUUAGGGAUCGCUGUCUACUCUUGACACAUUGAUGAGCUUGGACAUCCAUAUCUAAUCGAUCCAAGCUGUGUUGUCUUUGAAGGUUUGGGAGGAAAUUUCCCCUUCAUUAUCCUUUGGUACUGUUCAAAGGAGAAGAAAAAUUAAUGGGGCCAAGCUUGUCAAAGCACUGUUAUGGGGAAUUUGGGCCAAGAGAAAUCAACAAUGUUUGAUGAUAAAAGUUCUGAUUGGGUGAAAAGCUCGAGUUACUUAGAUUGCAUGUGUAGAUCAACUGGCCUCUGUGUGUGCAAUAUAUAGUGAAUUAUGUAACUCUAAUACUAGUGGGUUCUUUCUCGUAAAUUCCUCAAGAGAUUUGAACAAACAAAUCCUUGCUAAAAGUUUUCCGUCAUCAGUGAAAACUUUGUUUGUGUUUUAGAAAAAGAUUAAACCAUCAGAUAUGUAUGAGCGAGCAUCACGAGGAUAAAUGAGACUUAUUUUUUAAAAGUUA